rnacentral:rRNA from 1 species
AUGUCUGAUCUUCCCAAGCCAUCUGAGGUAGACGCUGAUAACAUCAUUAAGCCCAGUCUUGAUGAGAUAUCAGCCGAUCAUCGCCAAGUCUAUGAGGAGUACAAGAAGGAGCGCGAGGAGAAGGACUUGCAAGAGUUCCUUGCAAAGUUCAAGAAGGAUCGCCAAGGCAACAUCACUCCGAUUGGAGAAAUCAAGUUUCCUCUUCUUCAAGCCGAGCAGGUUAAACCCGCUGUGAGUACUACCUUUUCUCCUGAGCAGUGGGCUGAGAUUGAGAGUCGUAUUGCUGAUGGUAACAAUCUGGUCUAUCAAACUUUCAUAGAAAAUACCAAUGCUCAGAAAAAUAUAUCUCAAUCAUCUAGUGGUAAUGAUGGUGUAGCUGCUAGUGUGCAAAACCCUAAUCUGGCUUUACCUAUCUCAUCGGCGCCUCCCAUGCCGAUGACUUAUUAUCCUACUCAAACAAAUCAGAUUGUGACUACACCUAUUAAUCCUAUUAUGAGCAUGCCAGGUUCGGUGGCAGCGCUGAACCAAACCCUACCUACACCUACAACCACUCGACCACUACCAAAUUUUGGGUCGACAUACAUGCCACAAUUCUUACCUACAGCUAAUAACCCUACUCCUCCUAUGCCACUGCCACAAGCGUCAUCGUCCACUAUGGAUGAUGGUCUAGCUAAUCUUAGAGAGGAGAUGGCUAGGAUGCUUCGAGAGAAUUUUGGAGUUGAGUUACCUCGGAAUCGGAUUUACCAAAAGUCGUACCCCGAGUACUUUGAUGCCAUCCAGUGCCCUCCAGGAUAUAAAAUUCCAGAUUUUGUUAAAUUUAGUGGAGAAGGCACAAAAACCACAUGGGAGCAUGUUAGUCAAUAUUUAGCACAAUUGGGUGAGGCAGGCUCAUUGAACGAAUUGAAAGUGCGUUUAUUUCCUUUAUCAUUAACUGGUACCGCAUUUUCAUGGUUUUCUUCUUUACCCCAUGGCUCCAUUCGGGUUUGGUCGCAGCUAGAGCAGAAGUUUCAUGAUCACUUUUAUAGUGGCGACAAUGAACUCAAGUUGUCACAUCUAACAUCGGUUAAGCAGAAGCAUGAUGAAUCGGUCUCCGAUUACGUCAAGAGAUUUAGAGAAACAAAAAACCGGUGUUUUAGUUUGGUGAUAACCGAGAGAGACUUGGCAGACAUAGUGCUGAGUGGUUUGAAAACUCCCAUCAGAGAAAAGCUAGAAGGCUAUGAGUUCUUAAAUAUCAACCAAGUCUUACAAAGGGCUUUGGCUCAGGAAAGCCGAAGCAAAGACCUCAAAGAAGUGCAUAGAUACAAAGCCGAUCGUCCAAAGAUGAAUAUGAUCGAAUAUGAUAGUGAUCACUCGGACGAUGAGGGUGAUGUUUUUUCUACUGAAUUUGUUUGGCCAUCUAAGGCCAAACCAUUUACUUGCAAUGAUCUGAAACCGAUUCAUAAGAAUCGUGAUGAAGAGAUGAAGUUUACUUUUAACAUUGCCAAGUGUGAUAAAAUAUUUGAUGCUUUGCUGCAAGCUAAAAUUAUUAGAAUAACUCAUACUUUGCCGCUGUUUGAAGAGCUGAAACGGCGCGCUUAUUGCAAAUAUGAUAAUUCUUUUUCUCAUGCUACUAACGAUUGCAAUGUUUUUCGACAACAGAUACAAUCGGCCAUUAAUGACGGACGAUUGAACUUUUCUGAAAUGCAAGUUGAUAAACAGCCUUUUCCAAUGAAUACCAUGGAUUUGGAGGGGAAGAAGCUACUCAUUCGGCCGGAGGUAGCCGAAUUUGCUAAUAAAGCUAAUGUCAUUGUCGGUGAGCCCAGGAAAGACAAGGAGGACAACAAGGUCUUGGGGAGACAGGUUGUGCUUGAUAAGCAACCCGAUGGCAAGGAAGUGAUCAAAAUUACCAUCAAGAAUCCUGCACUCGGGGGGCAACCGCAAGUGCAAGAAAAUACUCGUGUUAAAUUUGUCAAGCCCAAGAGUCCAAAAGUUGGCAAGUGGAAGAAGAAUGAAGCUAAAGUGCAGCGCAAGCGGAUCAAGCCAACUUUUGAUAUGUUGCUGUCCAAGUAUGCUAACCAGUCGGCCGGUUCUAGUUUCAAUCGACCGACUCAUCUGAAACGACCAAGGUCACCAUCAGCUGAUAUGUUCAGUCGGUAUACAAAACCGAGUGGACCAAAGGCACAGUUUUCAGAAGAGUAG